rnacentral:lncRNA from 1 species
CAGCUGAGGAGUUAAUUAGAGCACUGCCAGGAGCAGGAAAGGGGGGCAGGAGGCUUGGAGGCUUGGGCUCCCUUUCCAUAGAGAUAGAAAUAGCUGGGCUCCUGGCGGAGGCGGAGAGCAGUACACACAGGAAUGGAGGUGCGAGCAGCCAGCGCCUGGGGCACAGGGUGGGGGUUGUCUUCUUGGGCUUGUCCCGUCAUUCUUGUUUGGGAGGGGGAAGGGGAAGGGGCAUGUGGUCUGUGGCCCGGAGGGGGCCUGUCCGAGGCCCUUCUUCUCCUUCCUGGGGCCUCCCCAUCUGUCUCCCAAGCCUGGCCUGCCCGGGCUCACGGGGGGCAUCACAACAGCCCCAGAGCCCUGGCCUCACCUUCCUGCCUCUAGCUUUCCAUGAGAAGCAGGCUAUGAAGGGGUGGGGUGGGGUUCCAGAGCUCAGGAUCAUUCUAGCAUUUCUAGGGGGUAGUCCCUGGUGGUGCUGGGCAGCUCCGUGCCUGACUCAUCUGAAAACACUUUAUAAAUAACCUGGCAGAGGGACGUGGGCUGUCCACCCCCGUACCCGCCACACUCUGUGAGCAGGUGGCAGCACCGAGGUCCUGAGGGCUUUUGAGAUGUCCAGGGCAGGGUUCUGGUCAGAAGCCAGGCCCAGGGGGAUGCCGGGAGGGAGUGUUGUCCACCUCUGGUGAAUGGCGCUGCGGGGGUUCUGGGCACCAUGGAGUCCUCCUCUCAGCUGUGAUGUUGUCAGCGCCACAACCUUCGAUGGGAGCAUUGGGGAUUUCUGGCUGGGCAAACUGAGCCACUAUGGACUAAAGUUGCUGGGAAACCUGGGAUGAGUCACUUCCCUUCUCUGGGAACCCUCAUUGGUAAAAUGAAAAGGUUGAACUAGGAAAUCCCACUGGGCCUGGAAGAAAUGUCAGUGUGGGAAGAUCUCUCUCAAGGCAUCACCAUAAAUCUUUUCCUGUUUUCCUCUUGAAAGACAAGAUUUGGAAAAGUCAGCCUCCACCUCCCAGCCG